rnacentral:rRNA from 1 species
UACGUAGGGAGCAAGCGUUGUCCGGAAUCAUUGGGCGUAAAGAGCUCGUAGGCGGCUUGUUGCGUCAGCUGUGAAAACCUGCAGCUUAACUGUGGGCGUGCGGUCGAUACGGGCAUCACUGGAGUUCGGCAGGGGAGACUGGAAUUCCUGGUGUAGCGGUGAAAUGCGCAGAUAUCAGGAGGAACACCGGUGGCGAAGGCGGGUCUCUGGGCCGAUACUGACGCUGAGGAGCGAAAGCGUGGGGAGCGAACAGG